GGGCACAUGGUGUAGUUGGUUAUCACGCUCGCUUAGCAUCGAAAAUUGAACGUGGUUUGCGAGAGGUGUUGGGUUCAACUCCCAAUGCGUCCA
rnacentral:tRNA from 1 species